rnacentral:rRNA from 1 species
UAAUACAUACUGUGCGAACGUUAUUCGGAAUCACUGGGCUUAAAGGGUGCGUAGGCGGCGAUUCAAGUCAGAUGUGAAAUGCCUGAGCUCAACUGAGGCAUUGCGUUUGAAACUGGAUUGCUGGAGUGUCCCAGGGGUGUGCGGAACUGCCAGUGGAGCGGUGAAAUGUGUUGAUAUUGGCAGGAACACCGGAGGCGAAAGCGGCACACUGGGGGAUAACUGACGCUGAGGCACGAAAGCCAGGGGAGCGAACGGG